UUGGCUAGUUUUUUGUAGUUCUUGAAAACUACAGUUGUGAUCUCUAUUGAUAUUAUACGCACCCUCUUGUGAACCAUGUGUUGUGAAAUCUUUGUGUAUAAAAGGCCUCUUGUGAGCUAGGGUUUCUGGAACGUUCAUUCAUCUUAUCUCACACUCUCUAACUUUGGGGUUUUUGUUCAUACCAGUUGAAGACGAAUCAAGUUGAAGACGAAUCAAGGUCUGUUCGUUUUAGUUGAUGUUCGUUUGAUCUGCUGGUGAUAUGUCGAAGAUUUAGUGAAGAUUAAUCUCUUCGUCUGUUUAGUAUUAUUUUCCAGAUCUUGCAAAUCUUCUUUGUUCAG
rnacentral:lncRNA from 1 species